rnacentral:rRNA from 1 species
AUUGAACGCUGGCGGAAUGCUUUACACAUGCAAGUCGAACGGUAGAGGGGGCAACCCCUUGAGAGUGGCGAACGGGUGAGUAAUGUAUCGGAACGUGCCCAGUCGUGGGGGAUAACGUAGUGAAAAUUACGCUAAUACCGCAUACGAUCUAUGGAUGAAAGCGGGGGAUCGCAAGACCUCGCGCGAUUGGAGCGGCCGAUAUCAGAGUUAGGUAGUUGGUGGGGUAAAGGCUCACCAAGCCAACGAUCUGUAGCUGGUCUGAGAGGACGACCAGCCAGACUGGAACUGGGAAACGGGCCAGACUCCUACGGGAGGCAGCAGUGGGGAAUUUUGGNAANGGGGCGCAAGUCUGAUCCAGACAUUCCGCGUGCAGGACGAAGGCCUUCGGGUUGUAAACUGCUUUUGUACGGAACGAAAAAGCUCUUAUUAAUACUNGGAGUCCAUGACGGUACCGUAAGAAUAAGCACCGGCUAACUACGUGCCAGCCGCCGCAGUAA